rnacentral:snoRNA from 1 species
CCCCACCAAGUCCCUUCUCCAUCACAUUCAAACACUGGUCUAAGUGGAUAUAAAAAGAGGAAAAGUAUAUUUGAAACAUUUCUUUCUUUUCUUUUGACCCCUGAACUAGUUUCAAACAAGA